rnacentral:rRNA from 1 species
AGAGUUUGAUCCUGGCUCAGAACGAACGCUGGCGGCAUGCCUAACACAUGCAAGUCGAACGAUCUCUUCGGAGAUAGUGGCGCACGGGUGCGUAACGCGUGGGAAUCUGCCCAAGGGUCCAGGAUAACAGUUAGAAAUGACUGCUAAUACUGGAUAAUGUCUUCGGACCAAAGAUUUAUUGCCCUUGGAUGAGCCCGCGUUGGAUUAGCUAGUUGGUGGGGUAAAGGCCUACCAAGGCGACGAUCCAUAGCUGGUCUGAGAGGAUGAUCAGCCACACUGGGACUGAGACACGGCCCAGACUCCUACGGGAGGCAGCAGUGGGGAAUAUUGGACAAUGGGCGAAAGCCUGAUCCAGCAAUGCCGCGUGAGUGAUGAAGGCCUUAGGGUUGUAAAGCUCUUUUACCAGGGAUGAUAAUGACAAGACCUGGAGAAUAAGUCCGGC